rnacentral:rRNA from 3 species
GGGUUGUGAGGUUAAGCGACUAAGCGUACACGGUGGAUGCCCUGGCAGUCAGAGGCGAUGAAGGACGUGCUAAUCUGCGAUAAGCGUCGGUGAGGUGAUAUGAACCGUUAUAACCGGCGAUUUCCGAAUGGGGAAACCCAGUGUGUUUCGACACACUAUCAUUAACUGAAUCCAUAGGUUAAUGAGGCGAACCGGGGGAACUGAAACAUCUAAGUACCCCGAGGAAAAGAAAUCAACCGAGAUUCCCCCAGUAGCGGCGAGCGAACGGGGAGGAGCCCAGAGCCUGAAUCAGUGUGUGUGUUAGUGGAAGCGUCUGGAAAGGCGCGCGAUACAGGGUGACAGCCCCGUACACAAAAAUGCACAUACUGUGAGCUCGAUGAGUAGGGCGGGACACGUGGUAUCCUGUCUGAAUAUGGGGGGACCAUCCUCCAAGGCUAAAUACUCCUGACUGACCGAUAGUGAACCAGUACCGUGAGGGAAAGGCGAAAAGAACCCCGGCGAGGGGAGUGAAAAAGAACCUGAAACCGUGUACGUACAAGCAGUGGGAGCCUCUUAAUGGGGUGACUGCGUACCUUUUGUAUAAUGGGUCAGCGACUUAUAUUCUGUAGCAAGGUUAACCGAAUAGGGGAGCCGAAGGGAAACCGAGUCUUAACUGGGCGUUAAGUUGCAGGGUAUAGACCCGAAACCCGGUGAUCUAGCCAUGGGCAGGUUGAAGGUUGGGUAACACUAACUGGAGGACCGAACCGACUAAUGUUGAAAAAUUAGCGGAUGACUUGUGGCUGGGGGUGAAAGGCCAAUCAAACCGGGAGAUAGCUGGUUCUCCCCGAAAGCUAUUUAGGUAGCGCCUCGUGAAUUCAUCUCCGGGGGUAGAGCACUGUUUCGGCAAGGGGGUCAUCCCGACUUACCAACCCGAUGCAAACUGCGAAUACCGGAGAAUGUUAUCACGGGAGACACACGGCGGGUGCUAACGUCCGUCGUGAAGAGGGAAACAACCCAGACCGCCAGCUAAGGUCCCAAAGUCAUGGUUAAGUGGGAAACGAUGUGGGAAGGCCCAGACAGCCAGGAUGUUGGCUUAGAAGCAGCCAUCAUUUAAAGAAAGCGUAAUAGCUCACUGGUCGAGUCGGCCUGCGCGGAAGAUGUAACGGGGCUAAACCAUGCACCGAAGCUGCGGCAGCGACACUAUGUGUUGUUGGGUAGGGGAGCGUUCUGUAAGCCUGUGAAGGUGGCCUGUGAGGGUUGCUGGAGGUAUCAGAAGUGCGAAUGCUGACAUAAGUAACGAUAAAGCGGGUGAAAAGCCCGCUCGCCGGAAGACCAAGGGUUCCUGUCCAACGUUAAUCGGGGCAGGGUGAGUCGACCCCUAAGGCGAGGCCGAAAGGCGUAGUCGAUGGGAAACAGGUUAAUAUUCCUGUACUUGGUGUUACUGCGAAGGGGGGACGGAGAAGGCUAUGUUGGCCGGGCGACGGUUGUCCCGGUUUAAGCGUGUAGGCUGGUUUUCCAGGCAAAUCCGGAAAACCAAGGCUGAGGCGUGAUGACGAGGCACUACGGUGCUGAAGCGACAAAUGCCCUGCUUCCAGGAAAAGCCUCUAAGCAUCAGGUAACAUCAAAUCGUACCCCAAACCGACACAGGUGGUCAGGUAGAGAAUACCAAGGCGCUUGAGAGAACUCGGGUGAAGGAACUAGGCAAAAUGGUGCCGUAACUUCGGGAGAAGGCACGCUGAUAUGUAGGUGAAGCGACUUGCUCGUGGAGCUGAAAUCAGUCGAAGAUACCAGCUGGCUGCAACUGUUUAUUAAAAACACAGCACUGUGCAAACACGAAAGUGGACGUAUACGGUGUGACGCCUGCCCGGUGCCGGAAGGUUAAUUGAUGGGGUUAGCGGCAACGCGAAGCUCUUGAUCGAAGCCCCGGUAAACGGCGGCCGUAACUAUAACGGUCCUAAGGUAGCGAAAUUCCUUGUCGGGUAAGUUCCGACCUGCACGAAUGGCGUAAUGAUGGCCAGGCUGUCUCCACCCGAGACUCAGUGAAAUUGAACUCGCUGUGAAGAUGCAGUGUACCCGCGGCAAGACGGAAAGACCCCGUGAACCUUUACUAUAGCUUGACACUGAACAUUGAGCCUUGAUGUGUAGGAUAGGUGGGAGGCUUUGAAGUGUGGACGCCAGUCUGCAUGGAGCCGACCUUGAAAUACCACCCUUUAAUGUUUGAUGUUCUAACGUUGGCCCGUAAUCCGGGUUGCGGACAGUGUCUGGUGGGUAGUUUGACUGGGGCGGUCUCCUCCUAAAGAGUAACGGAGGAGCACGAAGGUUGGCUAAUCCUGGUCGGACAUCAGGAGGUUAGUGCAAUGGCAUAAGCCAGCUUGACUGCGAGCGUGACGGCGCGAGCAGGUGCGAAAGCAGGUCAUAGUGAUCCGGUGGUUCUGAAUGGAAGGGCCAUCGCUCAACGGAUAAAAGGUACUCCGGGGAUAACAGGCUGAUACCGCCCAAGAGUUCAUAUCGACGGCGGUGUUUGGCACCUCGAUGUCGGCUCAUCACAUCCUGGGGCUGAAGUAGGUCCCAAGGGUAUGGCUGUUCGCCAUUUAAAGUGGUACGCGAGCUGGGUUUAGAACGUCGUGAGACAGUUCGGUCCCUAUCUGCCGUGGGCGCUGGAGAACUGAGGGGGGCUGCUCCUAGUACGAGAGGACCGGAGUGGACGCAUCACUGGUGUUCGGGUUGUCAUGCCAAUGGCACUGCCCGGUAGCUAAAUGCGGAAGAGAUAAGUGCUGAAAGCAUCUAAGCACGAAACUUGCCCCGAGAUGAGUUCUCCCUGAGACUUAGAGUCUCCUGAAGGAACGUUGAAGACGACGACGUUGAUAGGCCGGGUGUGUAAGCGCAGCGAUGCGUUGAGCUAACCGGUACUAAUGAACCGUGAGGCUUAACCUUACAACGCCGAAG